UACGGAGGGAGCUAGCGUUGUUCGGAUUCAUUGGGCGUAAAGGGUGCGUAGGCGGCGCGGUAAGUCGGGUGUGAAAUCGCUCGGCUCAACUGGGCGGGGUCAGCGGAUACGGCGUGGCUGGAGCAAGCUAGGGGGCAAUGGAAUUCCCGGUGUAGUGGUGGAAUGCGUAGAUAUCGGGAGGAACACCAGUGGCGAAGGCGGUUGCCUGGAGCUUUGCUGACGCUGAUGCGCGAAAGCGUGGGGAGCGAUCCGG
rnacentral:rRNA from 1 species